rnacentral:RNase_P_RNA from 1 species
AUACCUGAGGAAAGUCGGAGCUCCACAGGGCAGGGUGCUGGAUAACGUCCAGUGGGGGUGACCCUAAGGAAAGUGCCACAGAAACAAACCGCCUGGCAAUUGCCAGGUAAGGGUGGAACGGCGAGGUAAGAGCUCACCAGCAGGCAGGUGACUGUCUGGCUAGGCAAACCCCACUUGGUGCAAGACCGAAUAGAGGAGCAAUGAGGUUGCCCGCCCCGCUCCCGGGUUAGGUCGCUUGAGGUGCCAGGCAACUGGCAUCCUAGAUAGAUGAUUAUCGAAUACAGAACUCCGCUUAUAGAUUUACUUGCAUU